rnacentral:tRNA from 1 species
UUACAUACUAGCUCAUUUGGUUAGAGCAUUUGCCUGUCACGCAAGUGGUAGCAGGUUCAAUUCCUGCGUAUGAAA